rnacentral:rRNA from 1 species
UACGAAGGGGGCUAGCGUUGCUCGGAAUCACUGGGCGUAAAGGGUGCGUAGGUGGGUUUUUAAGUCAGAGGUGAAAUCCUGGAGCUCAACUCCAGAACUGCCUUUGAUACUGAAAGUCUUGAGUAUGGGAGAGGUGAGUGGAACUGCGAGUGUAGAGGUGAAAUUCGUAGAUAUUCGCAAGAACACCAGUGGCGAAGGCGGCUCACUGGCCCAUAACUGACGCUGAGGCACGAAAGCGUGGGGAGCAAACAGG